UACGUAGGGGGCUAGCGUUGUCCGGAAUCAUUGGGCGUAAAGAGCGCGUAGGCGGCCAGAUAGGUCCGUUGUGAAAACUCGAGGCUCAACCUCGAGACGCCGAUGGAAACCAUCUGGCUAGAGUCCGGAAGAGGAGAGUGGAAUUCCCGGUGUAGCGGUGAAAUGCGCAGAUAUCGGGAAGAACACCCGUGGCUAAGGCGGCUCUCUAGUACGGUACUGACGCUGAGACGCGAAAGCGUGGGGAGCGAACAGG
rnacentral:rRNA from 1 species